CAGUCACAGACAGACAUGACAUUACACGUCGUAACUUUCAUGUUAGAUGUUACCGAUGUUACUUAAAAAGUUUAACAGCGGAGAUCGGAUAACAAGUCAACUGUUUUUAAAAUAAUUUCAGCUGAAGUUUUCAUGUACCUGGCCAACUAGGUGCUCGUGACAAUAGUUAAAUGAAAUGGUCUAAUCCAAUAAUACAAGCUCACAACCUUAUGUCUUCUGAAGCAAAAUAAUUUCUGUUGCAAGUUGUAAAUUUUCAAGAUAUUGAUGCCUUCGCCAGAUCCCAUUCUUUGUUGCUAUCAGUUUUGCAGACAACAGCAAGAAAAUGCUGCUACUCAACAUUUUAUGGUGACCAACACUCUGUUCUAAUUUAGGACAAUGUAAGGUUGAUAAAUUUGAGGGUAAGCCCUCUUUGUUACUGUUAUAGUUGUUUGGAAACCGACAAGAGAUUGCUGGAAUUGAAGAUUGAUAAUUUAUGUAGAAUCAGAUAUAUUAAAAGUGUUCCUGG